CAGCUGGCGAGAAAACACCGAAAGUCAGAGCUGAUAGGACAAACCGGAGGCGCUAUAACCGUAGCUGAAGUCUGUUGCACUAGUCAAACCUAAGCCGGAAAUUCACUUUUUCUGUACAUAAAGCCUUUUUCCUCUGUGCACGGAAACAUAGAGCAUUCACUUGCCUGCAAUUGUAUUUACUGCUGGAGAAAACGAAAACAAUUGCCGCAAAUAUGGCAAAUGGCAAUUGAAAAACAAAAGUCCCUUGCGAAACGAGACCAGAAAUCCGUUCGCCUGCUGCUUUCACACUUUCCAGCCACGCAGGACAAAAGGCCAAAAAACGGCAGCAGGGACGUGAGUGCUGGAAAAAAAAGCCAAGGAUGCAGCUGCACACAAAAAAUGUGGAAAAAUGCACAAAAUUGGCUGUGAAAUGAACGAGAUGAGGCGGCGUGGCGUCUAUUGUUGCUAUCUGAGGGAAAAGUAAG